rnacentral:rRNA from 1 species
AGUGGCGAACGGGUGAGUAACACGUGAGCAAUCUGCCCUGGACUCUGGGAUAAGCGUUGGAAACGACGUCUAAUACCGGAUACGAGACGCGAAGGCAUCUUCAGCGUCGGAAAGAACUUCGGUCCAGGAUGAGCUCGCGGCCUAUCAGGUAGUUGGUGAGGUAACGGCUCACCAAGCCUACGACGGGUAGCCGGCCUGAGAGGGUGACCGGCCACACUGGGACUGAGACACGGCCCAGACUCCUACGGGAGGCAGCAGUGGGGAAUAUUGCACAAUGGGCGCAAGCCUGAUGCAGCAACGCCGCGUGAGGGACGACGGCCUUCGGGUUGUAAACCUCUUUUAGCAGGGAAGAAGCGAAAGUGACGGUACCUGCAGAAAAAGCACCGGCUAACUACGUGCCAGCAGCCGCGGUAAUACGUAGGGUGCAAGCGUUAUCCGGAAUUAUUGGGCGUAAAGAGCUCGUAGGCGGUCUGUCGCGUCUGCUGUGAAAACCCGAGGCUCAACCUCGGGCCUGCAGUGGGUACGGGCAGACUAGAGUGCGGUAGGGGAGAUUGGAAUUCCUGGUGUAGCGGUGGAAUGCGCAGAUAUCAGGAGGAACACCGAUGGCGAAGGCAGAUCUCUGGGCCGUAACUGACGCUGAGGAGCGAAAGCGUGGGGAGCGAACAGGAUUAGAUACCCUGGUAGUCCACGCCGUAAACGUUGGGAACUAGAUGUG